rnacentral:rRNA from 1 species
AUGUCUUUGAAGGUAUUAUGCUGGAACGUGAGUGGGCUCAAUAACCCUGCUAGGCGCUCAUCAGUUAGGCUUUUUAUGCAAUCUUGUAAUGUUGCCCUUGCUUGUUUACAAGAAUCUAAGCUUGAGGUGGUGGAUGCGGCAGUGGUCUGCCAGGUUCUUGGUUCUGGGUUUGAUGAUUUUGAUUUUCUGCCGGCUGUGGGCACUCGAGGGGGCAUACUGAUGGCUUGGAAGUCGGAUGUUUUGCGCGUUAAUAUCGUUCACAAGGGAGAGUUCUCUAUUACUGCAAACGUUCUGUCUCUUACGGACGGCAAGGCUUGGGCGGUGACCUCGGUGUGCGGUCCUCGGGAGGUGGAUGACAAGAUCAGGUUUCUGCAAGAGAUUGAGCACAUUGGGCAAUAG